rnacentral:rRNA from 1 species
UACGAAGGGGGCUAGCGUUGUUCGGAAUUACUGGGCGUAAAGCGCGCGCAGGCGGUCCUUUAAGUCGGGGGUGAAAGCCCAGAGCUCAACUCUGGAACUGCCUUCGAAACUAGAGGACUUGGGUACGGGAGAGGUGAGUGGAAUUCCGAGUGUAGAGGUGAAAUUCGUAGAUAUCGGGAGGAACACCAGUGGCGAAGGCGG